AUGUGGACUCGUAGCAAAACAAAACAAAACAGAAAAGGGAGGGGGGACGGGUCGAAAGAACCGAAGGGGGAAGCGAGAUCGAGGAAAGGGGCGGAGAAUUUUUUUUCUUCUUCCCAUUUCUUUAAAAAACCAACACAAGAAAACACACACACACACAACCAACGUUUGUUCCCGAGUAGAAACAUAAAUAGGGCAGAAUCGAACACUCUGUUCUUCUCUCUUCCAAAGGAAAAAAAAAAAAAAAAAAGUAAAAGGAAAGGAAAGGCAGGGUUUGAGGCUGCGCCCCCUCGGAGCCCCCUUCCGCUGCGCGGUGUACAAGGUGGCAGCCGAGACGCGCGGGUUUGUGCAACACAGGGCGGCCGCGCGGGGGACAGAGGCAGCGCGAGGGCGGGGGGUCAUGCGCUCGCCCCCCCGGGAGCAGGGGGUCCAGCUUGUCGAGUCCAGGGCGCCCCUUCCGAGUCCUGGGCACCCUCGGGGGGGAUCCCCAGGGGCCGCGCCCUCUCUGAGUUCCUCGGCACACUCGGGGGAAGGGGGGUCCCCAGGGCGGCACCCUCUCCAAGUCCGGGGCGCCCACGACACCCCCCCGCGAGCCCGCCCCUCGGGGAGGGUGGCCGCGCAUGCGCCCCGCGCGCGGACUCAGUACGCGGGCACCUGGUGCUGGGGCAGCAGCUGGCAGCCGCUGUUGACGUGGCUGAGGACUUUCUGCUUGAGCUGCGCCACCUGCUCGCGCAGCAGGCUCGCCGUGGACGCCAGCUCCGUGUUCUGGCUCUUAAGGGUCUUCACUUUCUCCUCCAGGCGCGAGAUGCGCUCCAGCUUGCGCUUGCGGCACUUGGAGGCGGCGAUGCGGUUGCGCAGCCGCUUGCGCUCCGCCUUGAUGCGCUCCUGCGUGUCCAUGUCGAUGGGCGACAGCGGCGGGCUCUCGCCGAAGCUCGGCACGUCGGGCACCGUCUGUGGCUCGUCCUUGAGCGCAGCCAGGCGCGGCGGCCCCAACGCACCCGGGGGUGGCGGCGGCGGGAAGGGCACGGGUUCGGCAGCGAAGGCGACCGUCGCGGCGCCCCCCGCGCCCCCAGCGCCGCCCGCGUAGCUACUCAGGUUCGCGUAGACGGGCGCCUCGGGCGCGGCCGCCGCCGGGCCAGCUCGCCGGGGGGCGCGGAGCCCGUGGCCGUGCCCGAGGGCCCCCCGGCGGCGGCGGCGGCGGCGGCGGCAGCGCGGCCGCGCCCGCACCAAGCUGGUUCUGCUUGUGUAAAUCCUCCAGGGCCUUGA
rnacentral:lncRNA from 1 species